GAAAAGCUUUUAUGAAAUCUAAAAAGUUUCUUGAAUAAGGACUGGGUAAGACGGGUGCCAGCCGCCGCGGUAAUCCCCGCAGUCCAAGUCGCAGCCAUCUUUAUUGGGUCUAAAACAUCCGUAGCUUGCUUAAUAAGUUUCUCGUGAAAUCCCAUGUCUCAAAUAUGGGGCGAGCGAGAAGUACUAUUAAGCUAGAGACCGGAAGACGUAAAGAGUACGAUAGAAGUAGUGGUAAAAUAUGUUAAUCUCUGUCGGACUAACAAUAGCGAAGGCACUUUACGAGUACGGUUCUGACAGUGAGGGAUGAAGGCUAGGGGCGCAAAGUGGAUUAGAUACCCAUGUAGUCCUAGCAGUAAACACUGCGCACUAAACAUUGGAACCUCCUCGGGAGGUUUCAGUGCUGAAGGGAAGCCGAAGAGUGCGCUACCUGGGAAGUAUAGCCGCAAGGCCGAAACUUAAAGGAAUUGGCGGGGGAGCAC
rnacentral:rRNA from 1 species